rnacentral:misc_RNA from 1 species
GAGAGAGAGAGAGAGAGAGAGGGUCCUCUUCUUCUUCACCUAGAGACUGCUACUUAUGCUUGGGAAGGGGAAAUGAUGAGCGGAUAGGAAGGAGAGAAAAGGGAAGAAUGUUCCCAUUUAUUCUAGUCCAGAAAGGAGGUGAAAAUGACACGGGUUGAAAAUGAGAUGAAGGUCAUUGCAUUUACUAAUAUGUCCAUAUAUUUAAUUCUUUCAUUGAACAGUGAAGAACAUUAUGGUAAUAUGAAUCAACGAAAAUAAUUACUCUUCACAUAUAUUCCCUCAUCCCCCCACCCUCCUCUUUUCUCUUCUCUUCUGAAACAAGAGUAGAGAAAUUAUUGUCCCCCUUCACUCUCUUUCCCUCCAUUUUGUCUCGCCUCCUUUUCUUUCCCCUCUUGGU